UGGGGAAUAUUGGGCAAUGGGCGCAAGCCUGACCCAGCAACGCCGCGUGAAGGAAGAAGGCUUUCGGGUUGUAAACUUCUUUUGUCAGGGACGAAACAAAUGACGGUACCUGACGAAUAAGCCACGGCUAACUACGUGCCAGCAGCCGCGGUAAUACGUAGGGAGCAAGCGUUGUCCGGAUUUACUGGGUGUAAAGGGUGCGUAGGCGGCAGAGCAAGUCAGAUGUGAAAUCCGUGGGCUUAACCCACGAACUGCAUUUGAAACUGUUUUGCUUGAGUGAAGUAGAGGCAGGCGGAAUUCCCUGUGUAGCGGUGAAAUGCGUAGAGAUAGGGAGGAACACCAGUGGCGAAGGCGGCCUGCUGGGCUUUAACUGACGCUGAGGCACGAAAGCGUGGGUAGCAAACAGGAUUAGAUACCCUGGUAGU
rnacentral:rRNA from 1 species